rnacentral:rRNA from 1 species
AACGAACGCUGGCGGCGCGUCUUAAACAUGCAAGUCGAACGAUCUGUAGCAAUACAGGGAGUGGCGGACGGGUGAGGAACACGUAGGAAUCUACCUUGAAGAGCGGGACAACUUUGGGAAACCGGGGCUAAUACCGCAUAGUACAGAGAUGUUAAAGGGCUAGCAAUAGUCGCUUCGAGAUGAGCCUGCGGUCUAUCAGCUUGUUGGUGAGGUAAUGGCUCACCAAGGCUACGACGGAUAGCCGGUCUGAGAGGAUGAUCGGCCACACUGGCACUGAGACACGGGCCAGACUCCUACGGGAGGCAGCAGUUAAGAAUCUUGCGCAAUGGGGGGAAACCCUGACGCAGCGACGCCGCGUGAAGGAUGAAGGCUUUCGGGUUGUAAACUUCGGUAGACUGGGAAGAAGAAAUACGUUCGUUGAGGGCGUAUAGUGACGGUACCAGUCUGAAGCCCCGGCUAAUUACGUGCCAGCAGCCGCGGUAAU